rnacentral:rRNA from 1 species
UGCAAGUCGAGCGCAACUUCGGUUGAGCGGCGGACGAGCGAGUAACACGUUGGAACCUGCCCCAAACUCAGGGAUAACAUCUAGAAAUAGGUGCUAAUACCGGAUAGUCCCGCAAGGGUAAAGAUUUUUCGGUUUGGGAGGGGCCUGCGGCCUAUCAGCUUGUUGGUAAGGUAAUGGCUUACCAAGGCUAUGACGGGUAACUGGUCUGAGAGGAUGAUCAGUCGCGAUGGGACUGAGACACGGCCCAUACUCCUACGGGAGGCAGCAGUAAGGAAUCUUCCACAAUGGACGAAAGUCUGAUGGAGCAACACCGCGUGAUCGAUGAAGCCCUUCGGGGUGUAAAGGUCUUUUCUGAGGGAAGAAUUUUGACGGUACCUUAGGAAUAAGCACCGGCUAACUCCGUGCCAGCAGCCGCGGUAAUACGGAGGGUGCAAGCGUUAUCCGGAAUCAUUGGGCGUAAAGCGUCCGCAGGCGGUCUGUUAAGUUGGGUGUUAAAUUUUUCAGCUCAACUGAAAAACUAUACCCAAAACUAGCAAACUAGAGUACUUCAGAGGUACGUGGAAUUCUGUGUGUAGGGGUAAAAUCCGUAGAUACACAGAGGAACACCAAAAGCGAAGGCAGCGUACUGGGGAGUUACUGACGCUCAGGGACGAAAGCGUGGGGAGCGAACGGGAUUAGAUACCCCGGUAGUCCACGCCGUAAACGAUGGAUACUAAGUGUUGAGGGACUCGACCCCCUCAGUGCUGACGCUAACGCAUUAAGUAUCCCGCCUGGGGAGUACGGUCGCAAGAUUAAAACUCAAAGGAAUAGACGGGG